rnacentral:rRNA from 1 species
CACUCCUACGGGAGGCAGCAGUGGGGAAUAUUGCACAAUGGGCGCAAGCCUGAUGCAGCCAUGCCGCGUGUAUGAAGAAGGCCUUCGGGUUGUAAAGUACUUUCAGCGGGGAGGAAGGCGAUAAGGUUAAUAACCUUGUUGAUUGACGUUACCCGCAGAAGAAGCACCGGCUAACUCCGUGCCAGCAGCCGCGGUAAUACGGAGGGUGCAAGCGUUAAUCGGAAUUACUGGGCGUAAAGCGCACGCAGGCGGUCUGUCAAGUCGGAUGUGAAAUCCCCGGGCUCAACCUGGGAACUGCAUUCGAAACUGGCAGGCUAGAGUCUUGUAGAGGGGGGUAGAAUUCCAGGUGUAGCGGUGAAAUGCGUAGAGAUCUGGAGGAAUACCGGUGGCGAAGGCGGCCCCCUGGACAAAGACUGACGCUCAGGUGCGAAAGCGUGGGGAGCAAACAGGAUUAGAAACCCGAGUAGUCCCA